AUGCACGCUGGCGGCGUGCUUAACACAUGCAAGUCGAACGAAGCACUUAAGAUUGAUUCUUCGGAUGACGUCUUUUGUGACUUAGUGGCGGACGGGUGAGUAACGCGUGGGUAACCUGCCUCACACAGGGGGAUAACAGUUAGAAAUGACUGCUAAUACCGCAUAACCCGAUAGGAUCGCAUGAUCCAGACGGAAAAGAUUUAUCGGUGUGAGAUGGACCCGCGUCUGAUUAGCUAGUUGGUGAGGUAACGGCCCACCAAGGCGACGAUCAGUAGCCGGCCUGAGAGGGUGAACGGCCACAUUGGGACUGAGACACGGCCCAAACUCCUACGGGAGGCAGCAGUGGGGAAUAUUGCACAAUGGGGGAAACCCUGAUGCAGCGACGCCGCGUGAGUGAAGAAGUAUUUCGGUAUGUAAAGCUCUAUCAGCAGGGAAGAAAAUGACGGUACCUGACUAAGAAGCCCCGGCUAACUACGUG
rnacentral:rRNA from 1 species